rnacentral:rRNA from 1 species
GAUGAACGCUGGCGGCGUGCCUAAUACAUGCAAGUCGAGCGAACAGAUGAGGAGCUUGCUCCUCUGACGUUAGCGGCGGACGGGUGAGUAACACGUGGAUAACCUACCUAUAAGACUGGGAUAACUUCGGGAAACCGGAGCUAAUACCGGAUAAUAUUUUGAACCGCAUGGUUCAAUAGUGAAAGACGGUUUUGCUGUCACUUAUAGAUGGAUCCGCGCUGCAUUAGCUAGUUGGUAAGGUAACGGCUUACCAAGGCAACGAUGCGUAGCCGACCUGAGAGGGUGAUCGGCCACACUGGAACUGAGACACGGUCCAGACUCCUACGGGAGGCAGCAGUAGGGAAUCUUCCGCAAUGGGCGAAAGCUUGACGGAGCAACGCCGCGUGAGUGAUGAAGGUCUUCGGAUCGUAAAACUCUGUUAUUAGGGAAGAACAAAUGUGUAAGUAACUAUGCACGUCUUGACGGUACCUAAUCAGAAAGCCACGGCUAACUACGUG